UAGUGUAUUGGACUACCAUGGCUUUAACGGGUGACGGAGGAUUAGGGUUCGAUUCCGGAGAGGGAGCCUGAGAAACGGCUACCACAUCUAAGGAAGGCAGCAGGCGCGUAAAUUACCCAAUCCUAAUUCAGGGAGGUAGUGACAAGAAAUAACGGACUGAGCCUUUGGUUCAGGAUUGCAAUGAGUAGAAUUUAAACCCCUUUACCAGGAUCAAUUGGAGGGCAAGUCUGGUGCCAGCAGCCGCGGUAAUUCCAGCUCCAAUAGCGUAUAUUAAAGUUGUUGCAGUUAAAAAGCUGGUAGUUGGAUUUCUGAGGGGAUGACAAAGUCCGCUGUUGCGUGUGGUGCGUCGUCCCUUCAUCCUUCUGUUAACGUUUCUUGGUAUUCAGUUACUGGUUUCGGGCUCAGAUAUUUUACCUUGAGAAAAUUAGAGUGUUUCAGGCAGGCUUGCGCCGGAAUACAUUAGCAUGGAAUAAUAGAAUAGGACUUGGGUCUCCUUUGUUGGUUUGAGGGACUCUAGUAAUGAUUAAUAGGGAUAGUUGGGGGCAUUAGUAUUUAAUUGUCAUAGGUGAAAUUCUCGGAUUUGUUAAAGACUAACUUAUGCGAAAGCAUUUGCCAAGGAUGUUUUCAUUAAUUUUGAACGAAAGUUAGGGGAUCAAAGACGAUC
rnacentral:rRNA from 1 species